AGGGAUCAUUACCGAGUUCAUGCCCUUACGGGUAGACCUCCCACCCUAUGUUAUUCUACCUUUGUUGCUUUGGCGGGCCGCCCGGCUUCGGCCAGGCUACCGGCUCCAGCUGGUAAGCGCUCGCCAGAGGACCCUCAACUCUGAAUAUCAGUGUCGUCCGAGUACUAUAAAAUAGUUAAAACUUUCAACAACGGAUCUCUUGGUUCUGGCAUCGAUGAAGAACGCAGCGAAAUGCGAUAAGUAAUGUGAAUUGCAGAAUUCAGUGAAUCAUCGAAUCUUUGAACGCACAUUGCGCCCCUUGGUAUUCCGAGGGGCAUGCCUGUUCGAGCGUCAUUACAACCCUCAAGCACUGCUUGGUAUUGGGCUCCGCUGGCUCCAGCGGGCCUUAAAAUCAGUGGCGGCGCCGUUUGGGCUCUGAGCGUAGUAAAUAUCCUCGCUAUAGAGACCAGGCGGUUCUUGUCAUCAACCCCCAACUUUCUAAGUUUGACCUCGGAUCAGGUAGGGAUACCCGCUGAACUUAA
rnacentral:misc_RNA from 1 species